CUUCUUUCUCCUUCUCCUUCUCCUUCUUCUUUUCUUGUUCUUCUCCUCUUCCUUCUCCUUCUCCUCCUCCUCCUCCUCCUUCUCCUUCUUUUACUUCUUCUUCUCUUUCUCUUCUUCUACGUAGCUUAGACUCAUCCAAGAAAUCCUAAAUUGGCUAAUUACCAUCUAAAUGAAAUAAUUAGCUUAGUUAGCUCCAAAAUGACCUAUUUAAUAAAAAAUGACCUAACUUAG
rnacentral:lncRNA from 1 species